GUACACGCUGUGACUAGCAUAUCAAUAAGCGGAGGAAAAGAAACUAACAAGGAUUCCCCUAGUAACGGCGAGUGAAGCGGGAAGAGCUCAAAUUUGAAAUCUUAAAGGGUUUCCCUUUACGAAUUGUAGUUUAAAGAAGUGUUUUUCUGUUGAGGUUUUGGUAAAAGUUCUUUGGAAUAGGACAUCAUAGAGGGUGAGAAUCCCGUAUUUGACCUUUACUUUCAACUUUGUGAUACACUUUCAAAGAGUCGGAUUGUUUGGGAAUGCAGUCCAAAAUGGGUGGUAAAUUUCAUCUAAAGCUAAAUAUUAGCGAGAGACCGAUAGCGAACAAGUACCGUGAGGGAAAGAUGAAAAGAACUUUGAAAAGAGAGUUAAACAGUACGUGAAAUUGUCAAAAGGGAAGCGUUUGACACCAGUGUUGUUUUUCUGAAAAUCAAUUAAAGAACUGUUUAUGCUAAGUUGUUUAGACUUUAUCAGCUAACUGUUUAGUUUUGAGCUUUUCUUUAAUGCACUUUUCAGUUAACAAGUCAACAUCAAUUUCUUUUGCUGUAAAAAAGCUUGAGGAAGGUGGCUUGAGAUUCGUCUUAAGUGUUUAUAGCCUCUUGCCUAUGCAGUCGGAGAGAUUGAGGUCUGCAGCGUAGAUCCUUCGGGGCUAAAUGCAUUUGUGCUAAGUUAUAGCAUUUUAUAGACAACUUGUUGACUAUGAUUUGUCUUGUAGCUUACUCGCUUAUGUUAUUUUACCUACGCUUAGGAUGUUGAGUCGUAGAGCACGCAG
rnacentral:rRNA from 1 species